ACAAGCGUGACCAAAAAUCAAUUUGGUUUCAUGCCUGGGAGGUCGACCAUGGAAGCCAUUUUCUUGGUACGACAAUUUAUGGAGAGAUAUAGGGAGCAUAAGAAGGACUUGCAUAUGGUGUUCAUUGACUUGGAGAAGGCCUAUGAUAAGAUACCGCGGAAUGUCAUAUGGUGGGCCUUGGAGAAACACAAAGUCCCAGCAAAGUACAUUACCCUCAUCAAGGACAUGUACAAUAAUGUUGUGACAAGUGUUCGAACAAGUGAUGUCGACACCGAUGACUUCCCGAUUAAGAUAGGACUGCAUCAGGGGUCAGCUUUGAGCCCUUAUCUUUUUGCAUUGGUGAUGGAUGAGGUCACAAGGGGUAUACAAGGAGAUAUCCCAUGGUGUAUGCUCUUUGCGGAUGAUGUGGCGCUAGUUGACGAUAGUCGGAUGGGGGUAAAUAGGAAGUUAGAGUUAUGGAGACAAACCUUGGAAUCGAAAGGGUUUAGGCUUAGUAGAACUAAAACCGAGUACAUGAUGUGCGGUUUCAGUACUACUAGCUGUGAGGAGGAGGAGGUUAGCCUUGAUGGCCAGGUGGUACCUCGGAAGGACACCUUUCGGUAUUUGGGGUCAAUGUUGCAGGAGGAUGGGGGUAUUGAUGAAGAUGUGAACCAUCGAAUCAAAGCCGGAUGGAUGAAGUGGCGCCAAGCUUCUGGCAUUCUCUGUGACAAGAGAGUGCCACAAAAGCUAAAAGGCAAGUUCUACAGGACGGCGGUUCGACCCGCAAUGUUGUAUGGCGCGGAGUGUUGGCUGACUAAAAGGCGACAUGUUCAACAGUUAGGUGUGGCGGAGAUGCGUAUGUUGAGAUGGAUGUGUGGCCACACGAGGAAGGAUCGAGUCCGGAAUGAUGAUAUACGA
rnacentral:rRNA from 1 species